rnacentral:rRNA from 1 species
GAUGAACGCUAGCUACAGGCUUAACACAUGCAAGUCGAGGGACCGGCGCACGGGUGAGUAACACGUAUCCAACCUGCCCUUUACUCGGGGAUAGCCUUUCGAUAGAAAGAUUAAUACCCGAUAUAAAGGAUGGGGAUGCGUUCCAUUAGGUUGUUGGUGAGGGAACGGCCCACCAAGCCUUCGAUGGAGAGGGGAGCGGAGAGGAAGGUCCACCGCAUUUGAACUGAGGCACGGACCAAGCUCCGACGCGAGGCAGCAGUGAGGAAUAUUGGUCAAUGAGCGGUGGCCUGAACCAGCCAAGUAGCGUGAAGGAUGAAUGGUUAGUGGUCGUAAACUUGUUGUAUAUAAGAGUAUGUAUUAUAUGAAUAAGCAUCGGCUAACUCCGUGCCAGCAGCCGCGGUAAUAC